AAUAGAUACCCAGGUAGUCCACGCCGUAAACGAUGAGUGCUAAGUGUUAGGGGGUUUCCACCCCUUAGUGCUGCAGCUAACGCAUUAAGCACUCCGCCUGGGGAGUACGGUCGCAAGACUGAAACUCAAAGGAAUUGACGGGGGCCCGCACAAGCGGUGGAGCAUGUGGUUUAAUUCGAAGCAACGCGAAGAACCUUACCAGGUCUUGACAUCCCGGUGACCGCUCUAGAGAUAGAGCUUUCCCUUCGGGGACAGCGGUGACAGGUGGUGCAUGGUUGUCGUCAGCUCGUGUCGUGAGAUGUUGGGUUAAGUCCCGCAACGAGCGCAACCCUUGUUCUUAGUUGCCAUCAUUCAGUUGGGCACUCUAAGGAGACUGCCGCAGACAAUGCGGAGGAAGGUGGGGAUGACGUCAAAUCAUCAUGCCCCUUAUGACCUGGGCUACACACGUGCUACAAUGGACGGUACAAACGGUUGCUAAGUCGCGAGACGGAGCUAAUCCGAGAAAACCGUUCUCAGUUCGGAUUGCAGG
rnacentral:rRNA from 1 species